GCCCGUCUAGCUCAAUCGGAUAGAGCGUCAGACUCUUAAUCUGAAGGCUGCGGGUUCGACCCCCGCGGUGGGCU
rnacentral:tRNA from 1 species